UACGUAGGGUGCGAGCGUUAAUCGGAAUUACUGGGCGUAAAGCGUGCGCAGGCGGUCUGUUAAGACCGAUGUGAAAUCCCCGGGCUUAACCUGGGAACUGCAUUGGUGACUGGCAGGCUUUGAGUGUGGCAGAGGGAGGUAGAAUUCCACGUGUAGCAGUGAAAUGCGUAGAGAUGUGGAGGAAUACCGAUGGCGAAGGCAGCCUCCUGGGCCA
rnacentral:rRNA from 1 species